rnacentral:rRNA from 1 species
GAUGAACGCUGGCGGCGUGCUUAACACAUGCAAGUCGAACGGAAAGGCCCAAGCUUGCUUGGGUACUCGAGUGGCGAACGGGUGGGUAACACGUGGGUGAUCUGCCCUGCACUUCGGGAUAAGCCUGGGAAACUGGGUCUAAUACCGGAUAGGACGAUGGUUUGGAUGCCAUUGUGGAAAGUUUUUUCGGUGUGGGAUGAGCUCGCGGCCUAUCAGCUUGUUGGUGGGGUAAUGGCCUACCAAGGCGUCGACGGGUAGCCGGCCUGAGAGGGUGUACGGCCCAAUUGGGAAUGGGGAACGGCCCCAGCUCCGACGGGGGGGAGGAGGGGGGAAAAUUGGCAAAAGGGGGCAAGCCUGGUGGCGGGAAGCCGGGGGGGGGGAGACGGGCUUCGGGUUGGAAAACCUUUUCGCCAGGGAAGAAGGGUUUUUGGGCGGGAACCGGGAAAAAAAGCACCGGUUACUAAGGU